AGGCGUGUAGCUCCAAUGGUAGAGCACCGGAUUCCAAAUCCGGGUGCUGGGGGUUCGAAUCCCUCCACGCCUGCCA
rnacentral:tRNA from 1 species